UUGUAAUGGUAAUAAACACGUACGACCAAUACGAGAGUGUUGACUCUCCGACGCUAAGGAGGGGUUGCUCCAAGGGAGUGUCUGCCCCCCAUUUAAGUCUACAGCCAUGAUUCCUUAUCCAUUUUGUGCGUUUGAGGUUUGCCGGUGUCACAUGUCACCGUGUGAGGGUUACGUCCAGUGAUAGUGUCCGUGGUUUUUUGUGUAUCCACUUUUCCUUUCCGCGCGUUGAAGUCUUUUCCAGUGUUUCUGAAAAGAGGUAUCCAGCAAAAAAGUGCUACGCUUUUUUCGUGCGGAUCAAACAUGUUGACAAGCUCGCAUUGGAAAUCCUCGCAUCUGUAGUGAUCGUGACGCUUAUACGCAGCGGAACUUGUGACGUGCCGUCAGACUGGCAAAGUGGUGCGGGAAGCAUAGCUCCCAGGAGCCUCGAUUCAAGGAGUGAUGCUGAAAGUAUAUCCCCCAGGGGCCCUGAGAUGGGGAUUAAUGCGGGUAGUAUAGAUCUUAAGGGCUCGGAAUCCGUUAAAGAGCGCACGGCGCGGGACUGGUCAACGACCGGUUCGACCGCCGGGAGUUACUACCCUCCAUCGAACGGCUAUGUCGGAGGUCCUAGUUACGUGGACAGCUAUGGAGUGCCCCAUUCGGAUUAUCAAUACCCAAACGCCGGAGCUAGCAGCUAUUCUUCUGAAGAGGCCAAACCCAAGCAAAGGCCAAUCGUCCCACCCAUUUUCCCACCCGUAUAUCAGGGAAUGCCAAUGACCCCAGUUGAGUGUCAAAUGGCGGGAUAUUCGAACGUUUUCGGAGACCUCUUCCGUUUCGGAGGGCUCAUCAAAGUGGGUCUCAUAAAAGCAGGUCUCACGGCCCUUGCGGCUGGCCUAUUAACCAAACUCCCUCUACUCCUUUUCAUCAAGACCCUUAUUGUUAAACUUAUCAUUUUCCCGAUCGGCUUCUUAGUUUUCUCCCUCCCUGUUCUCUUACCUCUUCUCCUUUUUUCCUCCCCAACAUGAUGAAGGACAAGCAGCCCAUCAUGAUGAUGAUGACACCUGAAAACGCCAAUAACAGUACCAGUGGUGAGUCAAAAAAUGAAUAUCAAGGAUAAUGUUUGUUGAUGCGUUAAUGAGGGGCUUGGAGGACAAAGCGCACAAGUUCAGUUUUUGCUAUUUCGAGAAAUACGUGUAUGAAGUUUCGAGUGGAAAGAAAGUUCAGACUGACUUGUUGAAGCUUAAAAAUUGGCAUUUGGGAGCGGAUUUUUCACAGAAUAUGCAUUCAGAUUAGUUUUACUUGAAUCGUUAAUAACUUAAUUUUUUCAACAACUGCACUUAUACGCGUUGUUCUCUAAACUCUUCAAAUGACGUCACAAGUUUCCUGGAGUUUGGAAAACAGUUCAUAUUUUUUUGAGAGAUUAAAAGAGCUGUCCUUAUUGAAAAUGAAACACAAUCGGAAAUCUUCAGAAAAUAUUCAGACAGCGUCAAUCAUCAAUGAUGAAAAAGACCUUCAAUGAUCAUUAAGGCAAUUUUGCCAAAUUUUAGUUUGGACUGUUGAUGUUCCUUUACCUGGAAGCUUGCUUGUAUCAUAGAAGCAAGAAUAAACCACAUCACCAUCCAGCAAUACUGUUUUAAUAAUGAUUGAAGAUCUUCCCGUACCUCUGAAGAUCAUUGAUAAUGAGUCCCUUUUUACGAGGGUUAUACUGGUAUAUUAAGAGAUUCAAAACGUAUCAAACAUCAUCACAAAGAUUCAUUCAACUAUUUAGAGUAAUAAGAAUGAAAGUACCUUAAUAACUUUUUCUAUAAAAGCUUCACAAAGAGUAUGUAAAAUAUCUUGACCUUUCCCAAAAUGAUCUCAUAAGAAAACAAGAAGAAACAUCCAACAUGAAUAUGUUGGAAAAGCGUGCCGAAGAACUGAAAUCUAGUGUGUGCACUAUUUCCAUUUCAACGAGAUGUGUCAUUAACUGAAAUGUUGGACACAUACCUACUAUUUUCACGUCUUUGCUUUUUGUAUCAAUUGAUACUUGUUGCUUUUGGGAGAAAAUAUUGAUUCAUGAUCGUUGAAUGUAAAUUAAUUUUAAAUAUUCCGUCCAAUUAUCUUGAUUUUAAGCUGAAAUGCGGCAAUUACGCACGACCGCGAUUUGGGCGAACUGCCGUGCAUCGAUGGAUUUUGAACUGUAACUUCUCACCUAUUCGGCCGAUUUUUACAAAUGAGGUCUCUUUUUAUUUGUAUUUUAACGGAGAGUAAGGAAACACUCGCUAUAUAGACGGCAAACAAUUUUUUUUGUAAAUUUGGUGGAUCCUGGCGUCACGGUGAAUGGUUAAUCGGGCGUGAAAGAUAAGGUUCGACGGCGGCGAGGUGACCCUCGCCUCGCCGCACAAUGGAUCGAGUCAAUGGGAGAGGUCGGACAAAGUUUGGAAACUUUAAACGCUUAUAACUCCGUUUAUAGAAGCCUUUGAGGUUCUAAAAGUGGUUCCAUUGGUUUUCACGUGAUCUUUUCUUCAAUUAGAACCCCUUGACAUUUAAAAUGUGACAAAAUCAACAUUAAAAUUUGCAGUUUUAGUCAAUAAUUUCAUGUCCGACCUGUCUCAUGGACUCGAUCCACAGUGCGCCGUCUUUUAUUGCCUUGCUCGAAACCGGACACCCAAAGCGAUAUCGGGCGAUAACUGCAGUGGUUUAAGUGGAUUUUUGCAGGGGCCACGAUUAGCACAUGGUAUAAUAAGUCACGAGGCUCAUCACAGAUUGUACUUACAGCGCAGGACGCUCAUUGGCUAAAAAUUUUUGGCGGGAAAGAAGCUUCUAGAGUUGAGUCCUCCGAGCGUAGAAAAGCUUACAUGAGGUUUCUGUUAAAUGAAAUAAUACGGUUUUGACAGGAAAAUGUUCUCAAGGGUUUCCAGUAACAGGAUAAUUCGGUUUCUCGAUGAAUGACCUUCAGGGCUUGACACUAUAACGGUUCAAAAACGGAAGAACGGAUCCGACGGAAAAAAAAUUCGGACCGCCCCUUGAAAAGCAUUGGUCGAUCGGUGUGCUGUACUACAGUACAUCCGAGUGAUUUCAAAAAGCGAGCCCUAUAGGCACGCUUAAAAUAUGCCACGCAAUUAAAUUUACGGACGUAUAUAUAUAGAUUACUUUAAAUUUUGGUGCUCUGGAUGAAAAUCACGAUUCAGUCAAGUAAAAUUAGAAACAUAUGUAUAAUAUCGAAGGAACAUGCAUAUGGAUUUUCAGCGACGUCUAGAUGUUCUCAUAGGCGGUGUUUUCAUCCUAACUCUGUUUUAUGAAAUUGAUAAAGAGAGCAAAUAAUCAUGAAGUAUGUCUAAAUAUUCAAA
rnacentral:lncRNA from 1 species